UCAAUAACGUGUAGCGCAUACGUUUUUCUCUCAGCUAGAAAGCACCUUCCUUAAGAAAGGCUUUUAAAAUAUUCAAUGUAAACUACUGAAGAUACUCAUAUUAAGUAGUACUCCCCAAGCUAUGGCCUACAGAAUGGCUCCUUUCCACUGAAGUUUUGAGAAGAGAAAACCAUAAGAAAACAGUACUAAGCAAGCUGUUGGACUGCUAACUUACAGUGUCAAGAAACUGGCAGGACCCUACAGCUUUAUGAAGUGGAGAGACAGGAUGCUGUGACACAAGACCAGACCUCGUAGCACACUUGGCUAAGUGACAAGACUGUACUUGCUGAUGAACAUACUUCACUGCAUCUAAAUAAUCUACAGGUACAGAAGGAUUAUGAAAAUCCUGUCUGUCUCUCCCUGAUGUGUCUGACUCAGUAACUGGGGAAGAAGUGUCUUCUAUCAAUCAAUGACAGAAAGUGCUGAAUCUGAAAAUGCUGACUGAGCACCAUGGAGGGCAGUCAGGUUUCUGAUAGCAGUCAAGGGAAGUCAAAAAAUUUCAAUAUGAGUGUUAAAUGCCUUUUCAAAAGAUAUUCAAAGAUUAAUCAGGAAGAAAAAAAUCAUAC